CAUCCAGAGAAGCACUCAAUAAGUGCUUCAAGUAUAUCCAUUUUCUCUUCAUUUAUUUUAUUAUUCAGUCAGCAAACAUUUAUUAAGUACCUAGUUAGGGACCAGACGACUUCCCAGGAUGGAGAACAAGUUGCAUCUUGUUGUAUAUAUAGAUUUGUUUAUAUAGCAUUUUCAGAGGAAAGUCAUACAAAUAAUUCAAGGAUUGGACCACAAGACCUAUGUGGACAGGUUGACUAACAGCCUGUUAGAGCCCAGAGAUGGCUCCUGUGACAGCCCUGAGAAGACGCGUGCAGACCUGCAACCAGAGAGAACACAACUGACCGAUGACCCCAGCUGCUGCACUCUGAAACCCAUUGCUGUUUGUGCAAAGGCCACACUUCCCAGUGGCCACUCCAAGUCAAUGACCCAGUGCGGCCGGAUAUGAUGGCAGACCCAUUCCUGGGAGACACAGCACUCCCUGGACAGCUGACUUUGCCCCGAGGACUCUCUGCUCUUUGCUGAACCUUCCUCAGACUGUACAGCAGCCUAGCACUUCCACCCAACCUUCUCUCCCUCUCUCCUUCACUACUGCUCAGGCUUGCUCUCCCAGCCGUCCUUGGGUCCCUCCCUAUUUUUUC
rnacentral:lncRNA from 1 species